rnacentral:rRNA from 2 species
UGCAGUCGAACGCUGAAGCCGACAGCUUGCUGUUGGUGGAUGAGUGGCGAACGGGUGAGUAACACGUGAGUAACCUGCCCCUGAUUUCGGGAUAAGCCUGGGAAACUGGGUCUAAUACCGGAUAUGACCAAUCCUUGCAUGAGGGUUGGUGGAAAGUUUUUCGAUCGGGGAUGGGCUCGCGGCCUAUCAGCUUGUUGGUGGGGUAAUGGCCUACCAAGGCGACGACGGGUAGCCGGCCUGAGAGGGCGACCGGCCACACUGGGACUGAGACACGGCCCAGACUCCUACGGGAGGCAGCAGUGGGGAAUAUUGCACAAUGGGGGAAACCCUGAUGCAGCGACGCAGCGUGCGGGAUGACGGCCUUCGGGUUGUAAACCGCUUUCAGCAGGGAAGAAGCGAAAGUGACGGUACCUGCAGAAGAAGUACCGGCUAACUACGUGCCAGCAGCCGCGGUAAUACGUAGGGUACGAGCGUUGUCCGGAAUUAUUGGGCGUAAAGAGCUCGUAGGUGGUUGGUCACGUCUGCUGUGGAAACGCAACGCUUAACGUUGCGCGUGCAGUGGGUACGGGCUGACUAGAGUGCAGUAGGGGAGUCUGGAAUUCCUGGUGUAGCGGUGAAAUGCGCAGAUAUCAGGAGGAACACCGGUGGCGAAGGCGGGACUCUGGGCUGUAACUGACACUGAGGAGCGAAAGCAUGGGGAGCGAACAGGAUUAGAUACCCUGGUAGUCCAUGCCGU